AUUGAACGCUGGCGGCAGGCUUAACACAUGCAAGUCGAGCGGAGCGAGGGUGCUUGCACCUUAGCUUAGCGGCGGACGGGUGAGUAAUGCUUAGGAAUCUGCCUAUUAGUGGGGGACAACAUUCCGAAAGGAAUGCUAAUACCGCAUACGUCCUACGGGGGAAAGCAGGGGAUCUUCGGACCUUGCGCUAAUAGAUGAGCCUAAGUCGGAUUAGCUAGGUGGUGGGGUAAAGGCCUACCAAGGCGACGAUCUGUAGUGGGUCUGAGAGGAUGAUCCGCCACACUGGGGCUGAGAGACGACCCAGACUCCUACGGGAGGCAGCAGUGUGGAAUAUUGGACAAUGGGCGGAAGCCUGAUCCAGCCAUGCCGCGUGUGUGAAGAAGGCCUUUUGGUUGUAAAGCACUUUAAGCGAGGAGGAGGCUACUAGUAUUAAUACUACUGGAUAGUGGACGUUACUCGCAGAAUAAGCACCGGCUAACUCUGUGCCAGCCGCCGCCGUAAAAC
rnacentral:rRNA from 1 species